ACGCUCGACACCUACUGGAGGCAGCAGUCGGGAAUAUUGCGCAAUGGAGGAAACUCUGACGCAGUGACGCCGCGUGCAGGAAGAAGGUUUUCGGAUUGUAAACUGCUUUAGACAGGGAAGAAAGAAAUGACAGUACCUGUAGAAUAAGCUCCGGCUAACUACGUGCCAACAGCCGCGGUAAUCUGAGCGGGCUGGCAAGGC
rnacentral:rRNA from 1 species